rnacentral:rRNA from 1 species
UACGUAGGGUGCAAGCGUUGUCCGGAAUUAUUGGGCGUAAAGAGCUCGUAGGCGGUUUGUUGCGUCGGCUGUGAAAACCUGAGGCUCAACCUCAGGCCUGCAGUCGAUACGAGCAGACUAGAGUGUUGCAGGGGAGACUGGAAUUCCUGGUGUAGCGGUGAAAUGCGCAGAUAUCAGGAGGAACACCGAUGGCGAAGGCAGGUCUCUGGGCCAUAACUGACGCUGAGAAGCGAAAGCAUGGGGAGCGAACAGG